GAUGAACGCUGGCGGCGUGCCUAAUACAUGCAAGUCGAGCGAACAGACGAGGAGCUUGCUCCUCUGACGUUAGCGGCGGACGGGUGAGUAACACGUGGAUAACCUACCUAUAAGACUGGGAUAACUUCGGGAAACCGGAGCUAAUACCGGAUAAUAUAUUGAACCGCAUGGUUCAAUAGUGAAAGACGGUUUUGCUGUCACUUAUAGAUGGAUCCGCGCCGCAUUAGCUAGUUGGUAAGGUAACGGCUUACCAAGGCAACGAUGCGUAGCCGACCUGAGAGGGUGAUCGGCCACACUGGAACUGAGACACGGUCCAGACACCUACGGGAGGCAGCAGUAGGGAAUCUUCCGCAAUGGGCGAAAGCCUGACGGAGCAACGCCGCGUGAGUGAUGAAGGUCUUCGGAUCGGAAAACUCUGUUAUUAGGGAAGAACAAAUGUGUAAGUAACGAUGCACGUCUUGACGGUACCUAAUCAGAAAGCCACGGCUAACUACGUG
rnacentral:rRNA from 1 species